GGAGGAUCCAAGCGUUAUCCGGAUUUAUUGGGUUUAAAGGGUGCGUAGGCGGCCUGUUAAGUCAGGGGUGAAAGACGGUGGCUCAACCAUCGCAGUGCCCUUGAUACUGACGGGCUUGAAUGGACUAGAGGUAGGCGGAAUGAGACAAGUAGCGGUGAAAUGCAUAGAUAUGUCUCAGAACACCGAUUGCGAAGGCAGCUUACUAUGGUCUUAUUGACGCUGAGGCACGAAAGCGUGGGGAUCAAACAGGAUUAGAUACCCUGGUAGUCCACGCCCUAAACGAUGAACACUCGCUGUUGGCGAUACACAGUCAGCGGCUAAGCGAAAGCGUUAAGUGUUCCACCUGGGGAGUACGCCCGCAAGGGUG
rnacentral:rRNA from 1 species